rnacentral:rRNA from 1 species
CCUACGGGAGGCUGCAGUGGGGAAUAUUGGACAAUGGGCGAAAGCCUGAUCCAGCCAUGCCGCGUGUGUGAAGAAGGCCUUCGGGUUGUAAAGCACUUUCAGUGGGGAAGAAAGCCUUGGGGCUAAUACCCUCGAGGAAGGACAUCACCCACAGAAGAAGCACCGGCUAACUCCGUGCCAGCAGCCGCGGUAAUACGGAGGGUGCGAGUGUUAAUCGGAAUUACUGGGCGUAAAGCGCGCGUAGGCGGUCUGAUAAGCCGGUUGUGAAAGCCCCGGGCUCAACCUGGGAACGGCAUCCGGAACUGUCAGGCUAGAGUGCAGGAGAGGAAGGUAGAAUUCCCGGUGUAGCGGUGAAAUGCGUAGAGAUCGGGAGGAAUACCAGUGGCGAAGGCGGCCUUCUGGACUGACACUGACGCUGAGGUGCGAAAGCGUGGGUAGCAAACAGGAUUAGAUACCCGAGUAGUC